AGACAACUGAGAGGAAGGAGGUACCACGGGCGCUCUCUCGCGAGAGGGCCGCAGAGCCGCCUUUGACGGGGGCGUGUACCUGGAGAGCGACGCAGGCAAUCAAGCUGGCUAGGUUCCUGCCACAAGUUCAGACUAGUCUUCUGUAGGAGCCUAUGAGGUUGGUCCUAUUUUUACUCUCACUUAUCCCUACUUGCCAGAUGAGGAUCCUGAGGCUCAGAGAAACUCUUGACAAAAAUUCUCAGGGAAAACUCUUCAGCUCUGGAUGUCUCCCUUUUUGUGGAUCAAACACAAAGGGCAUCAUUCUAAAAUAUAUACGGAACCAUAAAAGCCCCAAAUAGCCAAAGCAACCCUGAGCAAAAAGAACAAGGCUGGAAGCAUCACACUACCAGACUUCAAAAUUUACUGCAAAGCUCUAAUACCUAAAACAACAUG
rnacentral:antisense_RNA from 1 species